CCUCUCUGUUCCUCAACCUAAAAAUGCAGCAUAUCUGGGAAGGUGGGCAAAGAAAGAAAGAGGUUUUAGCCAGAAAGCCCAAUUAUCAGCUAUAUCUCAUUGCUUUAACUGAUGCCCAUCUGGUAGCACCUGAUCACUGUCAGGAAAGAAGACUGAGAAGACUGUAAAUUCUCCAGUCUUCAUUUUGUAACAGAGGUCACUUGUUACUUGAGACUCCAUUGUUUUCACACUCAAAAGCCUUGGAUUCCUGAAUUGUCAAAGGUAAGAACAAAGUCGUUCUCAUUAAUUUUAAUGGGAAUUUUAAACAGGCUAAGGUUUUAAAAUAGAUCCCUUUAAGACGUCUUUAACUCUUCUCUGUUGAGAAAGGUUACUUCUUGCCAAGCAAAUACCUCUUCAGUAUUUUUCAGAUGGACAGAUAAAUCCAGUUCAUGAUGAUUAGUUUCCUAAUGUUUUGCAGAGACCCUCUCUAUUGUCUGUCGCCAAAGGUGCAGUAGGCAGGACAGAAGGGUGGUACGGCUGGGAAUAACAUCAGAGACUGGAGCAGAACUGAUCUUCAAGAAGCGCUUAGCACCUUGAAGCAUUAUUUUCUGAGGAAGCGUGGGUCUUAAAGUGUCACAACUUAAAGCCGUGGAAGUGACAGAAGCAAAACUUAAAAGAGAAGAAAUAGAUACGAUGACUAGACUGAAUGCUUUUGUAAGCCGCUACAGAAAAAAAAAUGCCAAGAUCUUCUUACCUGGUAAGUGGAUGUGAUGGACAAAUAAUGCCAGUUUGAUAUGCUUUUUAGAAGAUCUAGAGUUGGGAAAUUCUUAACUCACUAAAUCCGUUCUGAUGAAAAAACUCUCAGCUGGCAGUUCUCAGUUGCUAUGGAAAGGUUAAGAAAACUGUGUAUUGUAUCUUCUAGUGAAUUGACAAUUUGCCUUAGAAGGGUUUUUCACAUUCACCUUUGUAUUUAAACAUACCAAAAGUGCAUUUUCCUACUUCCUACAAUAUUGCAGCUUUUUUGCCAAUUAUUUAUUUACUGUCAGUGUUAGAGUCUUUAAUCAAGCAAACAGCCCUUGAACCCACAGCUUGGCUCCUUCUGGGCACAGAUACCACUUGAAGAACACCUGAGAUGAAGGAGGAGUUUUGAAUGUUCUCA
rnacentral:lncRNA from 1 species